GCAUAUCAAUAAGCGGAGGAAAAGGAAACUAACAAGGAUUCCCCUAGUAACGGCGAGUGAAGAGGGAAGAGCCCAAGAUUGAAAGCUGGCGUCUUUGGCGUCCGCAUUGUAAUCUCAAGAAGCAUUUUCCGCUUCGGACCAAGCCUAAGUCCCUUGGAAAAGGGCAUCGUAGAGGGUGAGAAUCCCGUACAUGGCUUGGAGCGCCCGAGGCUUUGUGAUAUGCAUUCUAAGAGUCGAGUUGUUUGGGAAUGCAGCUCAAAAUGGGUGGUAAAUGCCAUCUAAGGCUAAAUAUUGGGGAGAGACCGAUAGCGAACAAGUACCGUGAGGGAAAGAUGAAAAGAACUUUGAAAAGAGAGUUAAACAGUACGUGAAAUUGCCAAAAGGGAAGGGUAGGAGGUCAGAGAUGCGGCGUGGAAUUCAGCCUUGCUUUUGCUUGGUCUACUUUCCUCAUUGCAGGCCAACGUCGGUUUUGGGCACUGGAGAAUGGUGGGAGGAAUGUGGCACCCCUCGGGGUGUGUUAUAGCCUCCUACUGGAUACAGCGACCGGGACCGAGGAACGCAGCGUACUCGAAAGAGCGGGCCUUCGGGCACCUUUACGCUUAGGGCGUUGGCAUAAUGGCCCUCUACCACCCGUCUUGAAACACGGACCAAGGAGUCUAACAUGUAUGCGAGUCUUUGGGUGGCAAACCCGUAGGCGCAAUGAAAGUGAAUUCAGAUGGGAUCCGCAAGGUGCACCAUCGACCGAUCCUCACGUCUUUUAAGUCGUGGAUUUGAGUAAGAGCAUGCCUGUUGGGACCCGAAAGAUGGUGAACUAUGCCUGAAUAGGGCGAAGCCAGAGGAAACUCUGGUGGAGGCUCGUAGCGGUUCUGACGUGCAAAUCGAUCGUCAAAUUUGGGUAUAGGGGCGAAAGACUAAUCG
rnacentral:rRNA from 1 species